rnacentral:rRNA from 1 species
AGAGUUUGAUCAUGGCUCAGGACGAACGCUGGCGGCGUGCCUAACACAUGCAAGUGGAGCGACGAACCGGACUUCGGUCCGGGGCAAAGCCGCGAACGGGUGAGUAACACGUGGGUAACCUGCCCUGAUGAUUGGGACAACCCGAGGAAACUCGGGCUAAUACCGAAUGUGCCCUCCGGUCUCAAGACCGCUGGGGAAAGGAAGCUUCGGCCUCCGCAUCGGGAUGGGCCCGCGGCCCAUUAGCUUGUUGGUGAGGUAAUGGCUCGCCAAGGCAACGAUGGGUAGCUGGUCUGAGAGGACGAUCAGCCACACUGGGACUGAGACACGGCCCAGACUCCUACGGGAGGCAGCAGUGGGGAAUCUUGCGCAAUGCGCGAAAGCGUGACGCAGCAACGCCGCGUGGGGGAAGACGGCCUUCGGGUUGUAAACCCCUUUCAGUUGGGACGAAGCUCCGCCGGUGAAUAGCCGGCUGGAGUGACGGUACCUUCAGAAGAAGCCCCGGCUAACUACGUGCCAGCAGCCGCGGUAAUACGUAGGGGGCAAGCGUUGUCCGGAAUCAUUGGGCGUAAAGAGCGUGUAGGCGGCUCGGUAAGUCCGCUGUGAAAGUCCAGGGCUCAACCCUGGAAUGCCGGUGGAAACUGUCGAGCUAGAGUCCGGAAGAGGCGAGUGGAAUUCCUGGUGUAGCGGUGAAAUGCGCAGAUAUCAGGAGGAACACCAAUGGCGAAGGCAGCUCGCUGGGACGGUACUGACGCUGAGACGCGAAAGCGUGGGGAGCAAACAGGAUUAGAUACCCCGGUAGUCC